rnacentral:rRNA from 1 species
UACGGGGGGGGCAAGCGUUGUUCGGAAUUACUGGGCGUAAAGGGCUCGUAGGCGGCCAACUAAGUCAGACGUGAAAUCCCUCGGCUUAACCGGGGAACUGCAUCUGAUACUGGAUGGCUUGAGUUCGGGAGAGGGAGUGCGGAAUUCCAGGUGUAGCGGUGAAAUGCGUAGAUAUCUGGAGGAACACCGGUGGCGAAGGCGGCAUCCUGGACCGACACUGACGCUGAGGAGCGAAAGCCAGGGGAGCAAAGCGGG